GACGAACCGUGCGAACGUUAUUCGGAAUCACUGGGCUUAAAGCGCGUGUAGGCGGACCGCCGCGUCGGUUGCUGAAAUCCCCCGGCUCAACCGGGGAACGGGCAGCGAUACGGGCGGUCUGGAGGGAGGUAGGGGGGGCCGGAACUCACGGUGGAGCGGUGAAAUGCGUUGAGAUCGUGAGGAACGCCCGUGGCGAAAGCGGGCCCCUGGACCUUUACUGACGCUGAGACGCGAAAGCUAGGGGAGCGAACGGG
rnacentral:rRNA from 1 species